CUUAUUUUACCUUUUCCAAUUUCCAAAAAAAAGGAUUCUUUUAAGUCGUUUAUAUUAAAGGACUAAAAAAAAUAUUGACAGUUUUUCUUGCAUUCUCGAACACAUCGAUGAUAUGAAGAUAAACUUGGAAGCUUCUCUCUUUCCAACAAUACAUCGAAAGUCCGAACGAGUUAUCUCCGAAGAACCAAGAAGCGAAGCUCUAACGUCUAAUCUUCAAAGAUCUGAUGAACUGUAAAUGAAUCUCUCAAGGAGCUCUCAACCCAUGAAUCUUGUCAUUAGUUGCUUGAAUCGAAGGGAAGAGAACCUAGAACCUAACAUAUUGUCCUUGAUUUUAAACCUUUUUCAGGUAUUUUUCAAUUUCUUACUCUGUAAAAUAUUAUUCCAUGGUGGAGAUUUAUGUGUAUGUGUUUUUGUAGUUACGGUUUCGAAUUUAUGUGAAUUUUAAAAAUUUCCUGUUCUUUAACAGAAUUAAUCUUCAACCUUCUUUAAGUGUUUCUCUAUCUCUAAUAAUUAGGGUUUCGAACUGCGUAUCUCUAUUGCUCUGUGUGUAUGUUUUUGUGUGGGCAUACGUUUCUUCCCUUUUUUGUUGCAUUUUGAUCAUAUGCGUGUACCUUUAUUUUUGUUACUUUUGUUAGGUGUUUUCCUAAUUUUCUUACCAUAUUUGGUUUUCCUAUCUCUUGAAGGAAAGGGCAACAUAUUUACAAUAAUAGGAUUUUCCUUCUCGUACAAGGAAAUUAUAAAUCUUUCAUAUUGGCUAGUCAUUUAUCUUGUAGGGAAAGGUUUUAGACCUCUAUAAAUUGAGGAUCCUUCCUUCUCAUUUAUCAGCAUCCACAAUAUAGCCAUAUCGGGUUUGACAGUCGUGUUUAGGGGGAGAACUUUACAGGACAAGUGUUAGUGUGUCACUUGUGUUUGACUCUUCGUGAGGUUGCUCUCUCGAUAUUUUGUACUCUCUUUUAAUAUAGUGGAUUGCUCAUCUCCGCCGCGGACGUAGGUCAAUUGACCGAACCACGUUAAAUGUUUGUGUUUCUUUUGGUAGAUUUUUCUUUUACUUUCUGAUUUAUCGUCGUUCAAGGUUUGUUUUACUAGUUCCCGCAUGACACCUGAUUAUUUCUGUCCUAACAACUUUUUGGGUUAGUUUGAUUUUUCUAUUUUUCUUUGUUCUAUUAAUGGAAACAGUAGCAUUUCUUCCGUUAAAGUUGUUGUUUGGGGUCUGGUUAAUUUUCUACAGUGUAGAGGAGGAGAAGAGGGCGAAUAGGGAGCAUUAUAAGUUGGCUAAGAAAGAGGCAAAGCUAGCAGUUACGGCGGCCAAGACUGCAACUUUUAGUCAUUUGUAUAAGGAACUCGAGGGCCGAGGUGGGGAUAAGAGGUUGUUUAGAUUAGUCAAGGCGCGUGACUUAGACCAAGUGAAGUGCAUCAAAGACGAAGAAGGUAGAGUUUUGUUCGAUGAGGGGCGUAUCCGUUGGAGAUGGCAGACCUACUUUCAUAAUCUCUUGAAUGAAGAGGGGGACAGGAGCAUUGUACAGGGUGAUUUGGAACUCUCCGGGAGUUGUUGUGACUUUGGGUAUUGUAGGCGGAUUAGAGUUGAUGAAGUUGAGAGGGCUAUGCGUAAGAUGAGCAAGGGCAAAGCGACCGGGCCGGAUGAAAUUCCGGUGGAGUUUUGAAAGAGCGUGGGCAAGGCAGACUUGGAGUGGCUCACUAGGUUAUUUAAUGUUAUUUUUAGAACGAAGAAGAUGCCCAACAAGACUGUUCUUUCUUUGUGUGAUUUUUAUCUACAACAGCACAAACCUUCUGCAACUGAAAGCUAAUAGGACAUAUUUUUCCUGCUAUAGAACACAUAAUUCUGACAUUUCAUUUAAAGUAGUCUUUACUCUCGCAUGCGAAAGUAUUAAGGUCAUAAUUAACAAUUUCAAUAUUGGCCUGCUUCAAGGUUUUCAUGUCUCAAAGUUUUUCAACGAGGAGUUCUAGACUUUUUACUAAUUAGUUUUAUUCACUCGAGUGCGAUGAGAACCAUUCAUUAAGUUAAUACAUUGGUCAUUUUCAAAAGUUCUACUAUGCUCAUCUCUUAUAAGGCUUCAAAAUAUACAUGGCUAAGAUAAUCUAGUUUCAACAAUGUCACAGGGCUUGAUAGGAUCAUAUAAAUAUAUUGAGUGGGCUCCUGUUUAUUAGUUUUUUGGUUGUUUUCUUUUGGAGUAUCAUUGGGUUAUAGAGUUCGAAUUGAUACACCAGAGAGUAAGAAAUUUCAAAGGUUUCUAGUUUUGGUGAUAUUAAUAGAAAAUAACUUAUAUAUUUUGCACCACAUAUUACAACAACAACAUUUUGCACCACAUUGUGAAUCUCUUUUAAUUGCAGAACUGUUUAUAUCUUUUAAUUCUUUUAUAAGACCGUCUUUUAUAUAUAGAAAGAUCGGCCAUUAAGUAUAAAGUACAGUAGUAUGAUUCCUUAGAUUAAAAUGGAUACUACUGUAUAUAAUUAAGCACUGCUUUAUUAUGAUUGACUUAAUCCAAAUUGUUAAAACUCUAGUUUUUUUUAGGAUUAAUGAUCAUUUAAACUUGCGGAUAACAAUGUAAUCCUGUUAAAUAUGCAUACAUUGAGUUGCCUCCCAGUUCCUAAAAGGAUACUGGUUUUUUGCCUAUAUGUGUUACCUAUUUAUAUUGCCUUUUAUUCUGUUGUAGCUGAAGAUGAUUGACAAUGUGCAAGAGGCUGAUAGUGGAGCUUUUUCCGUUGUGAAUUAAGUUUUCGACUCAUAAAAAUGAAAAUUUGUUAUUUAACUUCUGUCAUUAUUCUAGAAUUUGUGGAAUAAAAGAGCAACAUGAGAAUUCAUUGGUUCAUUCCAUUGAUCUCAUUGUAUUUUGCAUAUUUUGGUUAUCUCAAAUGAGUUUCAUACUGUUGGUUAUCUUGUAUAGUCAGGCUUCAUGAACACAAGUGAGUCAAGAGAAUCAUAUAGUUAUCAUAAAAUGAUAUAAGUUGACCUUCUUCAUGUUUUUCUUAAUAUUAAAGAUUGUUUGAACGUAACGUCUAGUCAAGUAAAAACAAUUAAACAUGAUUCAGAUGUCUUAGAGUGAGGGGUACAUCUAUUCUCUUACAAUGAUUGAUAUUUUUAGUUUAGCGGGCACUAUUCGAGGCAAUAAGUAGUAGCAUCUUACCUCUGAUAUAGGACGCUUGAUGAAUUUGAGGCCAAAAAGGUCAGUAUCCAUUCAGAGUAUUAAAACACCUUUUUUUUUGUCAUUUUAGAGUUGCUUUUGCAUCUUUAUUUACUUGGAUGAAAAAGUAAGGUCUGAAACUCCUAUUUAUCACUUAGUAUUUUGGAUUGAGCACAUAUGCACUAGAGAGAUGUAGAUAUCUCUAUUGGCGUAUGUGUUAUACGCGAUACGGAUGAAACACUUCUUUCAUUCCUUUUUAUGAUACACAGUUAACUGCCUAUAAAGAAUAACAAGCUAAAUGGCUUAGACUCUCAUUGUACUGUAUGUUGCGAUUUUGCUACUUUCGAGUAUCUCACCUGGAAAUGGAUCUAACGGAGGAGGUCAUGCAUAAAUUUAACUGAUAGAUAAUUUCUCUGAGGCAGCAGAAAAAAACAUUUGUUAAACUAGAAAGGGAGUGAUUAAUAGUCAUUUAAAAGUUUGACAGGAAAUACAGUCCAUUAGUGAGAUUAAGUGUUUAAACUUCAUUAAAAAGCUUUACCUGCUUAGCUAAGGCUGCCUGCACAGUAGGAAAAGAGCGACCUGUAGUUACUGAAGCCAAGGAAACCCUCGAGUGAGUUUCUAUUUUCUUGCAAGUUAUACAGGUUCAUGUAGCUAGUGGUUAUUUUCCAACAUGGAGAACCAUAGAUAGGGUGGUAAAAUCUUCUUCACUAGUAAAUGAUAGUUUUAAUUUUGUGCAAAAUUUAUUGUCUAGAAAUUUUAAACUUUAUUAUCUGGAGUGCUUACGGCAUCAAUUAAUGGCUCUUAAAACUAAUUGGUAUAUAUGUAAUGUUUACAUCUAUAAGAAGAAAAGGUUUCCUUUGAAGUUUAGAUCUGAAGUAAAAUAAUUGUUGGACUACUUGUGAAUAUAUUUUUCUGUGAAACUUCUUUUAAAUUAUUUAUAUAUAAUCUUUUGUAGGUGAAGCAAAUGAACAAAGGAUAGAUGAUAGCAGUGAAGAAGCUUGGUAGUUUUGAUUGAUCCUUACUAGAUUUUUUUAACGUCCUAGGAAUCUUUUAUGUUUGAACUUUUUGAAAAUUUAUGUAUGUCAAUCCUUAAAUUGUCAAACAUAUUGUAUAUUUUGUUGUUAUAUAUGGAUAAUACGAGUUGGAUUUGCGAUGUAUACGAAUUUAAGUGCAUUCUAUUUUAUUAUAUAG
rnacentral:lncRNA from 1 species